rnacentral:ncRNA from 14 species
UACGUUCAUCUUGUUACAAACAAGACGCAAGUAAGUCGCGGAACGGAGCGUUCAUCCCAUGUUUGAAUUAUUACUUUAUGCCGAACUAUCUUGUGAGGGUGCAUCAGAUAUUGCUGAUCGCAUCAUGAAGCACAAGAAUAUGGAUGAGGCGAUAAAGACAGAACUUGUUCAUGUUGUCAAGGAAUCAACUCCUGACUGUCCAUGGGACGCAAACGACUAAAGGAACGGACU